GGUUAAGCGACUAAGCGUACACGGUGGAUGCCCUGGCAGUCAGAGGCGAUGAAGGACGUGCUAAUCUGCGAAAAGCGUCGGUAAGGUGAUAUGAACCGUUAUAACCGGCGAUGUCCGAAUGGGGAAACCCAGUGCAAUUCGUUGCACUAUCGUUAACUGAAUACAUAGGUUAACGAGGCGAACCGGGGGAACUGAAACAUCUAAGUACCCCGAGGAAAAGAAAUCAACCGAGAUUCCCCCAGUAGCGGCGAGCGAACGGGGAGCAGCCCAGAGUCUGAAUCAGCUUGUGUGUUAGUGGAACGGUCUGGAAAGUCCGACGGUACAGGGUGAUAGUCCCGUACACCAAAAUGCACAGGUUGUGAACUCGAAGAGUAGGGCGGGACACGUGGUAUCCUGUCUGAAUAUGGGGGGACCAUCCUCCAAGGCUAAAUACUCCUGACUGACCGAUAGUGAACCAGUACCGUGAGGGAAAGGCGAAAAGAACCCCGGCGAGGGGAGUGAAAAAGAACCUGAAACCGUGUACGUACAAGCAGUGGGAGCACCUUCGGGUGUGACUGCGUACCUUUUGUAUAAUGGGUCAGCGACUUAUAUUCUGUAGCAAGGUUAACCGUAUAGGGGAGCCGCAGGGAAACCGAGUCUUAACUGGGCGUUAAGUUGCAGGGUAUAGACCCGAAACCCGGUGAUCUAGCCAUGGGCAGGUUGAAGGUUGGGUAACACUAACUGGAGGACCGAACCGACUAAUGUUGAAAAAUUAGCGGAUGACUUGUGGCUGGGGGUGAAAGGCCAAUCAAACCGGGAGAUAGCUGGUUCUCCCCGAAAGCUAUUUAGGUAGCGCCUCGUGAAUUCAUCUUCGGGGGUAGAGCACUGUUUCGGCUAGGGGGUCAUCCCGACUUACCAACCCGAUGCAAACUACGAAUACCGAAGAAUGUUAUCACGGGAGACACACGGCGGGUGCUAACGUCCGUCGUGAAGAGGGAAACAACCCAGACCGCCAGCUAAGGUCCCAAAGUCAUGGUUAAGUGGGAAACGAUGUGGGAAGGCACAGACAGCCAGGAUGUUGGCUUAGAAGCAGCCAUCAUUUAAAGAAAGCGUAAUAGCUCACUGGUCGAGUCGGCCUGCGCGGAAGAUGUAACGGGGCUAAACCAUGCACCGAAGCUGCGGCAGCGACACUAUGUGUUGUUGGGUAGGGGAGCGUUCUGUAAGCCUGCGAAGGUGACCUGUGAGGGUUGCUGGAGGUAUCAGAAGUGCGAAUGCUGACAUAAGUAACGAUAAAGCGGGUGAAAAGCCCGCUCGCCGGAAGACCAAGGGUUCCUGUCCAACGUUAAUCGGGGCAGGGUGAGUCGACCCCUAAGGCGAGGCCGAAAGGCGUAGUCGAUGGGAAACAGGUUAAUAUUCCUGUACUUGGUGUUACUGCGAAGGGGGGACGGAGAAGGCUAUGUUAGCCGGGCGACGGUUGUCCCGGUUUAAGCAUGUAGGCUGGUU
rnacentral:rRNA from 1 species